UGGUCUGUGUGCUUAGAAAGACUCUAGGA
rnacentral:piRNA from 1 species